GCUUAAUUUGAAUCAACACGGGGAAACUUACCAGGACCAGAUGUUUUUUAUGACUGACAGGCUUCGGGUCUUUCAGGAUAUUGUUUUUGGUGGUGCAUGGCCGUUGGUGGUGCGUGGGUUGACCUGUCUAGCGUUGAUUCAGCUAACGAGCGAGAUUAUCGCCAAUUAUUUACUUUGCCGAAGUCCUUCGGUUAAAGUUCUAAUUGGGACUCCCUGCGAUUUUAGCAGGUGGAAGAGGGUAGCAAUAACAGGUCCGUGAUGCCCUUUAGAUGCUCUGGGCUGCACGCGUGCUACAAUGUUAGGAUCAAUAGGACUGCGAGCCUGAGAGGGUGCGCUACUCUUAUAAUCCCUAACGUAGUUGGGAUUGACGUUUGUAAUCAGCGUCAUGAACCAGGAAUCCCUUGUAAAUGUGUGUCAACAACGCACGUUGAAUACGUCCCUGCCCUUUGUACACACCGCCCGUCGCUCCUACCGAUUGGAUGACUCGGUGAAAUCACCGGAUGCUUACGAGCAGAAAGUGAUUAAAUCACGUUAUCUAGAGGAAGGAGAAGUCGUAACAAGGUAACGGUAGGUGAACCUGCCGUUGGAUCAGUU
rnacentral:ncRNA from 1 species